UUGCGCCUGCAAAGGAUGCAGCAAGCCCUGUAUUACGGUUCUGCAGGCAACUGGAGCUUGUAUCAUCUCGUAUCUUGGCAAGAGUGCCAAUUCAAAAUCUUUCC
rnacentral:ncRNA from 1 species